rnacentral:rRNA from 1 species
AUUGAACGCUGGCGGCAGGCCUAACACAUGCGAGUCGAGCGGAUGAAGGGAGCUUGCUCCUGGAUUCAGCGGCGGACGGGUGAGUAAUGCCUAGGAAUCUGCCUGGUAGUGGGGGAUAACGUCCGGAAACGGGCGCUAAUACCGCAUACGUCCUGAGGGAGAAAGUGGGGGAUCUUCGGACCUCACGCUAUCAGAUGAGCCUAGGUCGGAUUAGCUAGUUGGUGGGGUAAAGGCCUACCAAGGCGACGAUCUGUAACUGGUCUGAGAGGAUGAUCAGUCACACUGGAACUGAGACACGGUCCAGACUCCUACGGGAGGCAGCAGUGGGGAAUAUUGGACAAUGGGCGAAAGCCUGAUCCAGCCAUGCCGCGUGUGUGAAGAAGGUCUUCGGAUUGUAAAGCACUUUAAGUUGGGAGGAAGGGCAGUAAGUUAAUACCUUGCUGUUUUGACGUUACCAACAGAAUAAGCACCGGCUAACUUCGUG